rnacentral:rRNA from 1 species
UACGGGGGGGGCAAGCGUUGUUCGGAAUUACUGGGCGUAAAGGGCUCGUAGGUGGCCAACUAAGUCAUACGUGAAAUCCCUCGGCUUAACCCGGGAACUGCGUCCGAUACUGGCAGGCUUGAAUCCGGGAGAGGGAUGUGGAAUUCCAGGUGUAGCGGUGAAAUGCGUAGAUAUCUGGAGGAACACCGGUGGCGAAGGCGGCAUCCUGGACCGGUAUUGACGCUGAUGCGCGAAAGCCAGGGGAGCAAACGGG